AAGAUAAGAACCUGGGAUCCCAAGGCUUAACAGUCUGAACCCAGCCCCCAGGCUUUAUACUUCCAAGGAUUCUGGAAGUCUUUCCAGCUCUCCACCCAGGAAGCAAACUUCUUCCCCCAUCCCUACGCUGUCCGCCUGUCUGUCCAUUCAAGUUUUGUAGCCCUCUGAGGCUCUGCUCACCUGUCCAUCCACAGGCUGUCUCUUUGCCCGAAGACUCUGCUCUUACCUGGAAGUCUGUGCCAAGGGUGAGUGAGACCCAGAGGGUAAAGAGGAAAAGGUGUGAUGGAGGGAGAGCUGAUAACUGGGAAGGGGGGGGGGGAUCUGAGCUUGAUGGUGGAGAGGGUACUGCUUUUCUGCAACCAGGCCCUCUUGAAGGCUUUUGGCCAAGCUCCCUGCUAAUGCCAUUCUGUACCCUUAGAGGGACAGCCCCAGGUGGGCAUGCAGCCACCCAGGUCCUGGCAAGGAGUCGUCAAGCUGGUCUUCCGAUACUGGCAAGAUGUGUUCAGUGGCUCAUGCCUCAAGGACUGUUCUGGAAAGAUGAUGUCACUCAAGAUGUAAAGACCCAGAAGAUGGAGCACAUGCCCAGGCUCCACGCCUCAGAGACCUACAUGAGGGAUGGGUAGACAGCCUUUCCCACCAAAACCACCACACUGAGAGCCCAGUGACCAAGGUGAACAAGGAACAAUGCUUGAACUCUAGAAUGGUUUCGGAGGUCCUGAACCAAGCAAGAGAUGACCAACCACAGCAAGGCCCCACUGCAGGUGAGGGCCUGCCCUUGUCCAGGAACGCUGAGCCCACCAAGGGCCUGUUUACAGAGGGAGACAGGGUGAAGGAGGGGAUAGACAUUGGUUGAUAAGGAAUGAUUUCACUGAGACUGAUGGAGAACCUUCUGGAAGAGAGGGCCUGGAGGAUGGAAAAGAACAGAGCCAGCCCAAUCUUCACCCUGCCACUGCCCAGCCGUGACCUUGGACACAUUACCUAGGCUCUUCAAGUCCCUUCUUCCACAUCUGUAAAAUGGGAAUGGUAAUAAAGACGACCCUUCCGGUGUUGCUGUGUGGAUC
rnacentral:lncRNA from 1 species